UACAGAGGGAUAGCCAGAGAAAUUGAUUAAUACCUCAUAGUAUUAUGAAAUGGCAUCAUUUAUAAUUAAAGUCACAACGGUAAAAGAUGAGCAUGCGUCCCAUUAGCUAGUUGGUAAGGUAACGGCUUACCAAGGCUACGAUGGGUAGGGGUCCUGAGAGGGAGAUCCCCCACACUGGUACUGAGACACGGACCAGACUCCUACGGGAGGCAGCAGUGAGGAAUAUUGGACAAUGGGCGCAAGCCUGAUCCAGCCAUGCCGCGUGCAGGAUGACGGUCCUAUGGAUUGUAAACUGCUUUUAUACGAGAAGAAACACUACUUCGUGAAGUAGCUUGACGGUAUCGUAAGAAUAAGGAUCGGCUAACUCCGUGCCAGCAGCCGCGGUAAUACGGAGGAUCCAAGCGUUAUCCGGAAUCAUUGGGUUUAAAGGGUCCGUAGGCGGUUUAAUAAGUCAGUGGUGAAAGCCCAUCGCUCAACGGUGGAACGGCCAUUGAUACUGUUAAACUUGAAUUAUUAGGAAGUAACUAGAAUAUGUAGUGUAGCGGUGAAAUGCUUAGAGAUUACAUGGAAUACCAAUUGCGAAGGCAGGUUACUACUAAUGGAUUGACGCUGAUGGACGAAAGCGUGGGUAGCGAACAGGAUUAGAUACCCUGGUAGUCCACGCCGUAAACGAUGGAUACUAGCUGUUGGAAGCAAUUUCAGUGGCUAAGCGAAAGUGAUAAGUAU
rnacentral:rRNA from 1 species